UACGUAGGUGGCAAGCGUUGUCCGGAUUUACUGGGCGUAAAGAGCGCGCAGGCGGUCGUUCAAGUCGCGUGUGAAAGCCCCCGGCUCAACUGGGGAGGGUCACGCGAUACUGAUCGACUCGAAGGCAGGAGAGGGUAGUGGAAUUCCCGGUGUAGUGGUGAAAUGCGUAGAUAUCCGGAGGAACACCAGUGGCGAAAGCGGCCACCUGGACUGUACCUGACGCUGACACGCGAAAGCUAGGGGAGCGAACGGG
rnacentral:rRNA from 1 species